AGAGUUUGAUCCUGGCUCAGGAUGAACGCUAGCUACAGGCUUAACACAUGCAAGUCGAGGGGAAACGACAUCGAAAGCCUGCUUUUGAUGGGCGUCGACCGGCGCACGGGUGAGUAACGCGUAUCCAACCUGCCCACCACUUGGGGAUAACCUUGCGAAAGUAAGACUAAUACCCAAUGAUAUCUCUAGAAGACAUCUGAAAGAGAUUAAAGAUUUAUCGGUGAUGGAUGGGGAUGCGUCUGAUUAGCUUGGUUGGCGGGGUAACGGCCACCAAGGCGACGAUCAGUAGGGGUUCUGGAGAGGAAGGUCCCCCACAUUGGAACUGGAGACACGGUCCAAACGUCCUACGGGAGGCA
rnacentral:rRNA from 1 species